rfam:Planococcus sp. PAMC 21323, complete genome.
AGAAUCCUGAUGUGUUCGUUUUAAGCAAUUCGAUUUUGACCCAACAUUAUGUCGUCGGGAGAUCGCAUUUUACCAUGGCUAACAUGCCUUAACGGGAAGUUAUAAGUGGUGAAGAGGUCACCCACCUGCUUUCAGCGGGUUCAAACGAUGCGCAACAACAAAGACGGCACGAUUGGGAUUCUU